ensembl:lncRNA
GUUUCCCUCUGUGGUUUCCACAGAUUCACGUACAACUGUCAGAAUUGGUAAAUAAACUGUCAUUAUUGACCCUUUCACAAAGCUCUGCAUUGCAUGGCUGUACAUUCAUGCCAUUUAAAGAUACUUAGGAACAUAACUACUGCAUCCUUUGCAGGAGAAAGAAGGCUGUUUUAAAAAAGAGGAAAUUAGAGUGAAUGGUUUGUAGCUACAGAAUAAAGGUUUCAGCACAGUUCCAGCCAAAUUUCAAGAGCAAUCUUUUUCAGAACGAGGCUCCAGGUAUCUCCAGAUUGAAUUAUGUACCUGCACUAGAUCAACUGCUGCCAGAGUCUUAGGAAGCCUUGUUCAAAUGCUAGAGUUAUUCAUUCACCAACAUUAAAUCCUAGGAGAGAGGAUGCAACAAAGCCGGACUCCUUCCUCCAUGGAAUGUGCUGAUUUCAGAGGAGGUGGCAGCCAAUGUAGAAAACACUGGAAUUUUUCCUUGGAACUGGACUGCGAUGAGACGUGCUUGCCAUGAAAAUAACCUACUGUCUUUUCUUUGACCCUUCCUUUCUAGUUUUUGAAGAUUAAAGCAGGAAAUAAUUUUCUUCGAAGAUACUUGAUAAAAAUUCCCCCAAAAACAAAAACACAUGCUUCCACUUCCCUGAUAAAAAUUUACUGCAGUUUGGCACCUGAGUCUAGCUCAGUUGGUGGAUGAGCUGAUUGAUGCAUUCACCCUGAUAGCCAGGUGAGCCCAUCUCCUUGAGGAAGCCCAUGCAUUUUUGGUUGCAUGACGGGCCACUGAGAGGUGAAAAGGGUGCAGGAACCAUGAGAUCUCCUGGAAAUGCUUCUCCGAAAAGGCAGUUUCAUGAAUGAGGUCUUCCAGGCAAAUGACACCAAACUUCCCCAAGUGCUCCUCAAUCACUAUGUUAUUUGUUAGAGGAAUGGUCUUCUUCUUGACCUUGGCUUGUCCACGUUUCAAAAUGUAUUUCAGAUUUUGAAAUCUUCAGGUCCAUAAGGUUCCACUAAAAGCAGCAUUUUUAGGUUCUGGGGGGUGACAUUUACAAAGACACCACUAAAAUGUUUCCUUAAGUGAAGUCUUGCAACGGGUUCUCUGCACCAGUAAACUCACGCCAUCAAUCCUUUCCAGCCUACAACAAAGGCCAAGGAAUGUUUAUCUGGCAAUUCCAAGGCAUGAGGUUUCACUUCUAGCCAUCUGAGAUGUACCUGGUCACAUCUCCGCCUUCAGGAAUCAUGCAGGAAUGAUUCCAGUUGCUUAAACCUGAGCCCUUUUCCUUUCCUGUGCUCCUUUGCCAACAUGCCUGCUUUGCCUAGGUGGCUAUGAGGGCUUGAUAAGCCUCCCUCUUUUUCAGGAGAUUUCCUGGAGCCAAAGGGAUUUUUCUUUGGUCUUGUUUCGCUGUCUUUCUUGUGUUGUGGCUCAAAAAUCUUACACGUUAUAAAUUAACUACACAUUUUAAAAAUUGCAUUAUAUAAUACGUAUAUAAAAUAUAAUAUAUAUGUAUACUGUAAAAUAUGGUAAUAAAAUGAACAGCUGCUAAGCCACCACUCCGCCUAAGAAAUAUCAAAAUCCUGGCAUUUACUUUUGCAUUGCUGUCCAUUAACUUCUUCUAUCUAAUCCAACAGGUGGUCACAAUAUGUUAUUAAAUUUUGUAUUUGUCAUUGCCUUUCUUUUAAUUUUAUACAUUUAUCACUCACAUGUAUGCAUCCCAUGCAAUACAAUGUUUAGUGUAGGUUAUUUUUUAAACUUUAUAUAAACAUUUUAGUAUUUACAUUAAUUGCUUUUUCACGCAACAUUAAAUAUAGUACAAGUGUCCAAGUUUUAGUGUUUUGCUAUAGUUCGUUUUUUAAGCAAUAAAAAUUAUAUUGUCUAAAUAUUUCACAUUUUAUUCAUCCAUCUUCCUGUUGAUAGACAUGCAACAUAUUUCUUCUUAGUUUCUGCUUCUGUCAAUAUUAUCACUCUGAAUAUUUGUGUACAGAUCUGUUCUAUACACACAUGGAUUCCCUAACAUAUAUCCCUAGGAGACAAAAUUCCUGUACAAGGUCAUGCCACAUUAUUUUUAAAUUUUUAAAGCAGUACAUACU